UGUAAUAAAGCCUUUUUAUAUGCCUGUCAUAGAAAGACAAACCUUUUCCAAAGGAAAUGGAUUUGAGUAUUUGCGAGGUAUGAUAAACAGCCUGACAAAAACGAGCCUGAAUUUCCCUUUUAAAUGUUCAGCAGGGGGAGGUUUUAACUUCUCCUGUCAGGUAAAAAAAGAAUUCAUUAUGAAAGCCAUUCUAGCUGAAACUCAAAAAUGAAAACGAGGCCCGAUCAGAGUGGAAAGCAAUGAUUUAGAAAUGUGUUAAAGGGAGUAGUUUAAUGAAUAAAGUGUCAACUUUCCAUAGGAGCAAAAAUAAAUCACGCAAAGGCUUAACCAGUUUUGUCGCUGUGAAUUAGCUGGGCGUAGUUGGGACCAGCACACCCUGUAAGGAAACAUUAAAAUCUAAUUCUCGCUGAGAUUUGUGUACGUGCAUUGUUGAUAAUGAUGUUAAUAAUGGCAUUGUAUGCAUUUUACGACUUCUCUUUACAGCAAUUGCCAAAAGCCGGAAGAAAAUGAGGCGCAGUUGAACGAAAAUGGCCCCAAUUCUCAGUUUUUCCACUCAGCGGAAAGCCUUGAGGCCUUGAAUCCACCCGUCCAGGAAUGACCUGAUGUCCCGCUGCAGAAUAGUCUAGACGCUCGGUGUUGCUGUCCUUGGUCUUGGUUCCCAGAUGCUGCUGACAGCUGUGUUUCCUGUGGGAGAAAUUGCUUACCUGGAUGCCUCACUCUGGACACUGGAGUCUCCACUGUGUGAGUCUGGUGGGCACAUCCUGGUGAGGUAUCAGUUGCUAGGAGUCCCUGGAGGGGCAUUUUGCUGUACCAGACUAGGUAAGGGUCAUGCACGGGAUAGGUAGGCAAUGACUGUGGGGUCAGAUCACAUGUAGAUUUCUCUAGGGGUAACCUACACUCCAUCCUAUGAAACAAUCAUGAAUACCACCCAGUGGCAUUGUGAGAUUCAUUUCCACUCCCUCCUGGGGAAACCCUUAGCAAAGUGUGAGCAGGAACCGUCCUGUCUUUCCUUACACAUUCUGCCCUUUCUCAGCUGGCCUGUGCUGUUCUGGUCUUAAACCACUCCAUGGGACUGCUUGAUCGCUUCUAUUUGGCCCUUGUUAGGGAACUCUGUUCCCUUCUGCCCUUGCUCCAAGUUCAUUUGCAGUUUGGGUCUACCUUAAUGGUAUUUAAAGGAGGCAGAUGUCCCUCAGAAUGCUCAGCAAAAACAUCGUCUUCCUGUUGGCCAUGCCUGCAGAGAGUCUCUCUUUCCCAGGCUCUGGGACCUGUCCUCAUCUCUGUUCUGAGCAGCUGGUCUCUGUUCCACUGCCUCUGAGUCCUACUACUGUGUUUUCUGCUACACUGUGACAUGGGGAAAGGGCUUUCCCCUUGGCUUGAUUUGGUAAAAAGAAUAACUUCUGCCCUGGAGCCAAGCAGAAGAUGAAUUUUCCUUGGCUUUAACCACAGAGACCAUUAUCUUUCUCAGCUGUGGGGCUCCACCAAGCUUUUUUAUUGGCUGCUAAAUUUCUCCAUUUUACUUUUCACAUUUUCGUAUCUUCACUCUCAGUGUGGGCUAGGCAGGUGGACUGGAGGCACCUACUAUCCCCCCAAAACAAUGCUGGUGGCUUGGUGGGGAGAGGAAAUGGUCAUAAAUAGCCCUACAAUAUGAUCUGGAGGGGAGAAUGCCCCCAGCGUUUGUAUCUUCUGAAUAUUGCCUUCAGAAAUGGUGACUUGAGCAGUGAGGUUCUACUUUUGGAAAACCCCAAAAGCAAAGCCAAAACCCAAAACAAAACUCUGGUCCCAAGAGGGAGGCAGUGAGUCCAGGAUGGAAGAAGAUGACAGGGGGUGGAGCUUGUAUUUCCAGGUGAGCAACGGCACCAAAUGUAGCUGGAGGGCUGCAUGACAUCGACCUUUGAACUGAGAUGGUUCUACUGUUGUCUCUUUCCUUCUAACCCUCAGCUCGUUUGUCUUUUUCUCCUACUUCUACCUAACUCCUCUUAUAUCCCCACCACCCUACUGAGACAGUCAAGCUAACCACCAACAAUGUGUCCCCUCCCCUCCCGGAUGUGGGAAUGUUGCAGGGAGGAGGCAAGCUGGGUAGGCCUUGCAUUUCCCAGCCCUCCUUGCCUACACAUGUGGCCGUGCAGCAAGUUUGCAGGGAUGGAACAUGGGCAGAGGAAUGUCUGUCAUUUCAGGCUGCACUUUGGAGACAGAGUGUGCCUCUCUCCCUUUCCCCUUCCACCAGCUCACCAUGGAGGAUUCCGGAGCCCUGAAAACACGGUGAAGUGUUUUCAACCUUGUCGUUCAUUGGAACCAUCUGGAAAGCUUUAAAAACUCUCGCUGCCCAAACCCCUACCCCACAGAUGCUAAUUAAAUUGGUCUGGGGUGUGGCGGGAGCAGCAGGAGUUUUAAAAGGUGUUCUAGAGGCUAACCAAGGCAGAGAACUGGUGCUCUGGAGGGGUGUGGAGCCCCAAGAAGGAAAUUGUCAUGGAGAAGAAAGCUACCCACUCGCCAGGAACACCCACGUUGGAAUGUUACUUAAAAGAGAAAGAAACCUUUAUUCUGUUAAGUCCCUGGGAAUUUGAGGUUUAUUUCUUAGAUCAGCUCAGUUGUCCCAAUUAAUGCAUCUUUUUUAACAAACACAGAGAAUGCCUCCUCAGCAUGCCAAGAUUUUUCUCCCGACAUCUUUCGGUUGCUGGGUUCUAUUGGAUUCAACUGUCCCAUAAGUGGGCGACAGGGGUGCUGGUGGGGUGCAGAGCCACCCCACUGCUCCGGCAUUUGAGGUGCUACUCCUGCAACUGUGAGAACUUUCAAUCAGGUACAGUGUCCCUGUCAGAGAUAAGCCCACACAGAGAUAAUCAUUGUUUUAUUUGAAAGAUGGUGAUUUCCUCAGGUUUGCAUUUAUCCUGUGAUUCUAUUAGUCUGUGUGAUUCUGCUUACUGAUAUUCCGUGCUCAGGAUGUUGUCUUCUACUCUGUGGUUGGUGAUAGUAUACCAUAUUUAAUUUUUCCAAGUUUUCUGAUCCCACUCAGUGAGAAAAAUAAUGGUUAGUGUUCAAUUGCGGAAGGUUUCUCAAGUAAUUGUCUCAAAACCGCAGGGCAUGUAUUUGAUUUCUUUGAUUGAUCUGUUUUGUGUAUAUAUUUUUCCAACAUCUUGAAUAAUUUAGGAGCAAUCUUGGUUUGUGGCUAAUUUGGUGUCCAGCAAUUAUGCAUCCUUCUGAAGCUGCCAUUCGCUCAAGUGUCUGAAAGCAGGAGAGAACAGCCUUAUAACAAGACUCAUUGUUACGUGAACUUGGGCAUAGCAUGUGGCCACUCAGGUUCCUGGAAACCUGGUGCUUAUCUUCAGGUCAAGGUGUGUUCUAAAAGCAUAAGCACUGUUCCAGGGAACACACAGGGACUUUUGAAAGAAUCAAUGAAAAGGAAAGAGAAGGGAGCUCCAUAAUCUCAGGAUGAGAACCCCAGUUCCUUGCUAUGGUUGGCCCUGAGUAUCUGGUCCUCUCUCACUUCUCCUGCCUCACGUCUAACCUACAUCCCUUCCCAUGAGAAUCCUGGAAGUCUUUCUGGAUAAGUUGUGCUCAUUCUAGCUUUUCUGCCGAUCCAUGGGCUGGUCCAUGAGAAAGCACUUGGGGAAUGUGCCAUCCAGCUGACCAGAAACCACAAGUCUCUAUGAUGUUGGACUCAUUCUGGUUGCAAGGAAGAGACGUGCUCAGAAUGUUCUGGGAUUUAUUUCAAGGACGCUCAGGGAAUGGAGAAAAGCAGAAAACUGUCUUAAUCCCUGCACUGCUGGACUCACAAAAACCGGGCAUGAUAUUUGGAAUGUAGAUCGUGGUUCGGGAUAUAACAUGGUUUAUCUCAUUGUUGCCUAUCUUGGCUGGUGUUUCUUGUUACGGCGUUUCAUCUAUUUCUGCCCAAGCUUUCGCUGUCUGGUGUUGCUGACUCACCCUGCUCUCUACCUCGUAGGUUUGGUUUAUUCAUGGCUGCUCUGUAUUGCUUUUUUCAAAGUGAGUUUUUCUGUUUCCUCUGCCUCUGUUUUCCUCUCUGUGUGUCUGGCAUUUGGGCUUGCUAAGAGAAGGACCGCAGGCAGUCAGCAUCCUGGAUGGGAUGGCGCGACCGAGCUUUGGUUCUGGGCCCCGCCCUGGGGCAUUGGUCAAUGAAGAGGUAAUCGCCUUUAGGACAGAUGCUAAGCCUUGGUCCAAUCAGCUGUAGCCAAGGUGGCAAGGUUACUUGGCAGAAAAUAUAUCAACCUAGGAUAAGAAGCAUGAAACAGGGGUGGGUCAGCAUGGUAAGUGAGAAAAAUUUCUGAGAAGCAUUUCUUCUCAGAAAUGCUUAUGCAGGCUGUUUGGUACUUGGAAAUAAUAUAAGACAGCAAAUAAGUGUUGUAUUAGUGAAACAUGCAAUCAGUGUGCUAGACCCAGGUGAGAAGGGGCUGAGAUCACUAUGGUCUGGGGUGGGCACGCCUCUGCUUACCAUCUUGAGAAUAAACUUCUCAGGAUGGCAUAAGGUCUUUAUGAUAUCAAGCUUCUGCUUACCUUUCCAGCUGCAUUUCCAGCUCACAGGAUCUCCCUGCGGUCGCUGGAUGAUUGUACCAUAUUUAUUCAGAUGCCGCAAGGAAGAACUGCUAUACUUCUUUAACCUUGAGAUGAAGCAUUGUCUUUGCCAAAACCUUGACAUAUCCCCAAUACCUAAUACCUUUCCUGUACCCCUCUGGACCUGCCUCUUUUCUGGCGGUCAGAGCUCCCGAUUGUGAAUCCUGGCUGGCAUAUCCACCUUGCUCACUGGACUGUGAGGAAAGGUGCUGACUGUGAUUUAUUCAUUUCUGUAUCCCAGCAACAAACCCAGGGCUUGGUACCUAUUAAUACUGUCAGGGCUCCUGUUUAUUGAGUUAUUACUCUGUUCCAUGUACUAUUCCAAGUGUUUUAUAUGUAUUAACUAAUUUAAUUCUCUCAAUCAUCUUCUAAAUAGGAGCCAUUAAGAUCCUCAUUCUAUGUUUUGGGAAGCUGAAACACAGACAAGUUGAGAAACUUGCCCAAGGUCACAUAAGCUAAUAAUUGGUGGAGUCAGGAUUCAAGUCAGGGAACUUGUUCCAGUCUGUGUUUUGUCCACUGAGCUAUACUGCCUCUUGGCAAUGAAUCUUCUAGAGGAAGUAGUAGGUAUUCAAUUAGUGUUGAGGAAAUAAAGGAAUCAAUGCAGGUAUUUUAAGGGAGAGGAAAAGGCAGGGGCAGGCACUGUAGGAGAGGGAAAUCAGCCAUGCCAAAACAUAUCCACAGAACAGCCAAGUAUCAGCCUUGGGGGACAAGGCUGGAUAUGUUGGUUGGACCAGAUGGUGGACACAGUCAAAUGACAACGGGUCGGGCUUUUGAGGAGGGGAGUGAUGUGAUUCAAAGCAAGUUUUAAGAUUAAUCUGGCUUCAGAAUACAGGAUGAUUUGAAAUGGAAGGAGAAUAGGCACAGAGGGUCCAAGUAGGAAGCCACUGAAAUAGUCUUGGGAAGCAGUGUAAUGAGAAGAUCAGAGGACCUGGAGUCGGACAAAUGUGGGGUUUGAGUCUGUUGCUUGCUAGCUGUGUGAUCUCUCUCAAU